rnacentral:lncRNA from 1 species
GCAAUCAAAAUAUUGUGGGCGAUCAUUUCACAAAUUUCCUGUGAAAGAUGUGUUGCGCCUUCAGCAGUGGUUAAAAGAAAUGAAGAGGAAGGAUUGGAAGCCAAACCGAAAUAGCACAUUGUGUUCGGCUCAUUUUACAAAUGACUGCUUUGAUAGGACAGGAUUCCUAAUUACAUUGAAAAAGAACAGUGUACCAACUAUAUUUGACAAUCCAAAAUCAGAGUGUUCAUCUUGUCACCGAUUAAGGGAAUAUGGACGUGGCUAUUCAUUCUUCAAGUUCCCAUUGGAUGAACCUGAUAUUAUGAAGCAGUGGAUCGCAAAUAUAAACAUUGGUCCGUGGUCUCCAUCAAGUGAUAGCCUUCUGUGUUCCGACCACUUUGAACUCUCUUGCUUUCAGAAGAAAAGUAAAAAUUAUAUAACUUUACGAAAAGGCAGUAUCCCAACGUUAUUUGGUGAAAACUUGCAGCAGACCGAAUUUCAGGAUGAAUCCGAUCGGCCCACCACAGUGAAUGUAACCAAAUUACAUGAGCACCUACACAUUUGUACCUGAUUUGCAUGCUCAGAUAUGUACAUCUUUUUUAUUUUCUUUUGAUUGUGCUUGUAACUUUUUCUUCAUGUGAAUGGAUUGUGGAUUGAUACUACUAAUUAUAUUGUUGUGGUUUAUCGCACGCAACUCUAUAAAAAUUCCUUAACGUUUGCAAGGAAUGUUUUAUUCUCCAUAUUUUUGAAUAAAGUUUUUACUCACCCAAUUCGAUAUAGUUUAAUUCAAAACUUUUUUUACAUGUCUUAAGCUCCACUUUGAUGAUCAAUGGAUGGUAAAUGGAUUCCCUAACGGUUGAAUUAGUGUUAUACAAAUUUUUGAAUAAUCCGUAUGAAAUUCAGCCCACCAUAGGAUAAAGGAUAAUGGACGGAAACUUCUUAGAAUUGAGGACUUCUUUUGAACAUAAAGAAAAAUCACGCUUAAAUACAAGUUUUUCGUGAUCGGAAGA